GGUCCCGUUUAAAAGUUUAUUGGCUAAUCUUGGAAGCAAAUGACUCUUAAUCAUUGGGUCGAGGGUUCGAGCCCCUCCGGGGUCA
rnacentral:tRNA from 1 species